rnacentral:rRNA from 1 species
AACGAACGCUGGCGGCAUGCCUAACACAUGCAAGUCGAACGAGACCUUCGGUUCUAGUGGCGCACGGGUGCGUAACGCGUGGGAACCUGCCCUUAGGUUCGUAAUAACUCCCCGAAAGGGGUGCUAAUACCGGAUAAUGUCUUCGGACCAAAGGUUUAUCGCCUUUGGAUGGGCCCGCGUUGGAUUAGCUAGUUGGUAGGGUAAAAGCCUACCAAGGCGACGAUCCAUAGCUGGUCUGAGAGGAUGAUCAGCCACACUGGGACUGAGACACGGCCCAGACUCCUACGGGAGGGAGCAGUGGGGAAUAUUGGACAAUGGGCGAAAGGCUGAUCCAGCAAUGCCGGGUGAGUGAUGAAGGCCUUAGGGUUGUAAAGCUCUUUUACCCGGGAUGAUAAUGACAGUACCGGGAGAAUAAGCUCCGGCUAACUACGUG